CCUACGGGCGGCAGCAGUCGGGAAUAUUGCGCAAUGGAGGAAACUCUGACGAAGAGAAGCCGCGUAUAGGAAGAAGGUGUGAGGAUUGUAAACUAUUGGCGUUAGGGAAGAUAAAAGACUGUACCUAAGGAGGAAGCCCCGGCUAACUAUGGGCUAGCAGCCGAGGGAAGACAUAGGGGGCAAGCGUUAUCCGGAAUUAUUGGGUGUAAAGGGUGCGUAGACGGAAGAACAAGUUGGUUGUGAAAUCCCUCGGCUCAACUGAGGAACUGCAACCAAAACUAUUCUCCUUGAGUGUCGGAGAGGAAAGUGGAAUUCCUAGUGUAGCGGUGAAAUGCGUAGAUAUUAGGAGGAACACCAGUGGCGAAGGCGACUUUCUGGACGAUAACUGACGUUGAGGCACGAAAGUGUGGGGAGCAAACAGGAUUAGAUACCCCAGUAGUC
rnacentral:rRNA from 1 species